rnacentral:lncRNA from 1 species
CGGGAGGGAUGGAUGUCCGAUGGGGCACAUCAGUUUGAGCCUCCUCAAACUCCUCAGCUUGCCUGUUUUGCUGAGGAGGCUCAGUUUGUGCCCUAUCGGGUACCAUUGAGGAUUUGCCUUUGUUCCUCAAAUGGUAGUCGUGCUUUUGCCUUUCAGAAGCCAUGUUUGACAAAAGCGUGUUCCAACUAGAGCGCAAGUAUUUGCU